UACGUAGGGCGCAAGCGUUAUCCGGAAUUAUUGGGCGUAAAGAGCUCGUAGGCGGUUUAUCGCGUCUGCCGUGAAACUCCGGGGCUCAACUCCGGAUCUGCGGUGGGUACGGGCAGACUAGAGUGCGGUAGGGGAGACUGGAAUUCCUGGUGUAGCGGUGAAAUGCGCAGAUAUCAGGAGGAACACCGGUGGCGAAGGCGGGUCUCUGGGCCGUAACUGACGCUGAGGAGCGAAAGCAUGGGGAGCGAACAGG
rnacentral:rRNA from 1 species